rnacentral:rRNA from 1 species
UACGGGGGGGGUAAGCGUUGUUCGGAAUUACUGGGCGUAAAGGGCUCGUAGGCGGCCAACUAAGUCAUACGUGAAAUCCCUCAGCUUAACUGGGGAACUGCGUGUGAUACUGGAUGGCUUGGAUUUGGGAGAGGGAUGCGGAAUUCCAGGUGUAGCGGUGAAAUGCGUAGAUAUCAGGAAGAACACCUAUGGCGAAGGCAGCUCUCUGGGACGGUACUGACGCUGAGACGCGAAAGCGUGGGGAGCGAACAGG